AGCUGACACUCUGUCACCAAGUCUUAUUUUUAUACCAGUUAAAUCAGUUAACAACAUAUAUUGAAUGUGUACAAAGCCUCAUGUUAGAGUCUGUGGGGAGUUAUACACUGAGCAAAAAGAAGAUGAGAUCAUCCAUUUGUCUUUUAUUGCAUUUGAAAAUUCCUACUCUUCGGUAACCAUUCAUUACUAGAGCAGCAUCCUCAGCAUCCAUGCCACGAGUCCAGAUUCAGCCUGGGAAGAUGAUACCCUAUGAAGAGGACCCUUUUGUCUCCCCAGAGCUGUCUCUAGGUCUGAGAUGGGAGGAGCUCGGGGCCUCUUUGGGAGCUGGCGUUCAUUCUGCUUAUAUAUCCCAGGCUGCCAAGAUGCAAGAUGGGAGCAGAAGUUCUCUGGCCUUACUCGGAUUUAGGAAGAUGACCUAGAGAGCUGGUGCCCCAGAAGCCCCACACUGAUGCUCACAAUUCUGCACCACGGUCACUCACUCUGGCAGAAGCCAGCAGAGCAAGCAGAUAGAUGAGGACAUUCAGCAAUAAUAUGGAGCGGUCCAUGUGUGGAGAAGCUGAGGCCACUCGCCCCCGGCCUUGUAUGUAAGCCACCUUUCAGCUCUGGUUGAGUCUUGAGAUGACUGGAGCUCUAGUGGACAGCUUGACUGCAAUCUCAUGAGCGGUCCUGAGCAGGGACCACCCAGCUGUGCUGCUGCCAAAUUCCUGACCCAAGAAUCCAUGUGAUAUGAUAAAUGUUUGUUGUUGUUUUAUGCUGCUAAUUCAUUAUGCAGCAAUAGAUAAUGAAUACAACAGGUGAUUUUGAUGCAGGUGCUCUGAACACAUUUUGUGAAAUGGACUUAGC
rnacentral:lncRNA from 1 species